GUUGCGCUGGCUCUCGAAGACUGCCGUGGGCCUCCUCAGCCCCCCGCCGCCCGUCGGCCGCUGGUCCUCAAACGGGGCCGUCUGCACGUCUCCUAAACCAUGUAAUUCCCAAGGAAUGGCUACCUGGAACGGAUGGCUUGGAGUACCUGCUUCAGGACCUGUAAAUGCUACCCUGCAAUCUCUCCUUUUCCAGAAUUUAUUUUGGCUAUACAGUGGACCCUCGACGUAUGCAUGGCUCGAUGUGCGUACUUUUUCAG